GACGAACGCUGGCGGCGUGCCUAAUACAUGCAAGUAGAACGCUGAAGAGAGGAGCUUGCUCUUCUUGGAUGAGUUGCGAACGGGUGAGUAACGCGUAGGUAACCUGCCUUGUAGCGGGGGAUAACUAUUGGAAACGAUAGCUAAUACCGCAUAACAAUGGAUGACACAUGUCAUUUAUUUGAAAGGGGCAAUUGCUCCACUACAAGAUGGACCUGCGUUGUAUUAGCUAGUAGGUGAGGUAAUGGCUCACCUAGGCGACGAUACAUAGCCGACCUGAGAGGGUGAUCGGCCACACUGGGACUGAGACACGGCCCAGACUCCCACGGGAGGCAGCAGUAGGGAAUCUUCGGCAAUGGGGGCAACCCUGACCGAGCAACGCCGCGUGAGUGAAGAAGGUUUUCGGAUCGUAAAGCUCUGUUGUAAGUCAAGAACGGGUGUGAGAGUGGAAAGUUCACACUGUGACGGUAGCUUACCAGAAAGGGACGGCUAACUACGUG
rnacentral:rRNA from 1 species